UUUCCCUCAGGAUAGCUGGCACUCGGCCAUGGGCAGUUUUACCCGGUAAAGCAAAUGAUUAGAGGUCUUGGGGCUGAAACAAUCUCAACCUAUUCUCAGACUUUCAAUGGGUAAGGGGGCCAGCUCACUGGCGUGGAGCCGCGCCAUGGAGUGCAAGUGCUCAGUUGGCCACUUUUGGUAAGCAGAACUGGCGCUUCCAGAGAGACUCU
rnacentral:ncRNA from 1 species